CUAUGACUGUGAUGUCAUUUCCAUGGAGACCACUGUAGUCUGAUGAGUAGAAACUAAUCAUGUCUCCAGGAUCUUGUUUUGUUCUUGGAUCUAACAAAAUGUGGAAGCUCUGCUUUCCUGCUGCUGGCAGAUUCUUUAAUGGGUAUUCUUUCUAGGGUGAUAACAAGGGUCAAGUGUUCUUGCUGUGAGAGAAAGGCAGCAGAGCUGGGCAGUUUUGUAUGCUGUGGAAUCUUCUCGGGUCUCACUGUGUGUGUUCAGGGGAAUGUGAUGAACUGGGAAGAGGAAGACCAUCAUUGCAUAACUUCCACUGAUGGAGUCUGCACAGGCAAGCCACCACCAUUCCAUAUCAUGGCUUUUAUGUGCUGGCUCAUCCUGGUUUCCGCUGUUUAAUGUGUAAUAUUUCCUCUCAUGCUGCCUUCCAGUAUAAAAGCAAAGGAUUUAAUCUCUGCAUCCCAGAAGCUGGAGCUGGUAGAGAAGAAUACAUUGUGAUGUGACAUCUGUCAGACAGAAAGGGUGACUAGAACAUGGUGACAUUAUGGGUAAGUCACUUGUCUUCCUGCAUCCUUAUCCAUUAAGGGCGAUCACAUUAUCCAGUCUUUUGUUCAUCAGCAAACCUUUGAGGCAUCAAUGCCUUGUCAUCUCAGAUGGAUGGUAGGACCAUGUACUUUGCAGUAAAUUAUAUUAUAUCAACUGUUCCAGGACUUCCUGGUCGGUGUUAUACUGGAGGCACUCUGACCUAAGAGGCUGCAGGGGUAGUAU
rnacentral:lncRNA from 1 species